AAUCGUAUAAGAAUGGUUAAUAAUUCAUCGAGAUUUAGGAAUUUUAAUAUAAGACGUCACGAAAAUUCAUUUCCAAUUCAAAGUUAAUUUAACGAACCUUUUUUUCUCGUGAUUCUAGAAAUUUUAUAUUCACGUUUCAGCGUCAAAUUAUUAUGCCCAUCAUAUUGAAUAUCUCGGGGUUGCAUAAACUGAACCACUUUUAAUAAUCACGUCGGCUAUAUUGCAAUCUUCAUCAUUUUUUUUUUUCGAACUUGAGUGAUGAAACAUCGGAGUCGUCUUGAUAAAUUGAAGAGCAAAAAGAAACGGAAAAAACCACUCCAUUGGCUGUCACAGUUCAAAUCAAAAUUCUUUCACGAUGAGCAACUGACAGAGCAGCCGCCAUUUGUACGAACCGCCCCCUGUAACCUAACCUCAGUUUGACCGCUAAAAUAUACUUUUCCGAAUGGGAUCGACGACGACCUCAAUCUUCUCCGUGUGUAGCAUUCGACCUUCCCCUAUGCGAUAAUGAUCUCCGGGAUUACGAAGUGUACCCAUCGUUUUUUUAAACAUUCGAUUUACAAAUAAUACUGUAAAAUUACGAACAUCGAGGAACGCAGUCGGAAAUGGGAAACGGACCGUUCUAACCUUAAAAAUUGGGUCGUUCCCUUCGAGCGACGCAAAAAAAUACUUUCCGUUUAUGAAUACCUGCACUUCACUGGCAAGCACUUCGAAGCUUAUAGCUUUGAAAGAGCGAGGUUGCUCUACAUAUCAUAUUGCUGCAUUAAAUAGUAAAAUAUGGACAUUUCGAAAUGUCUGAAAUGUAUACUGCUUAUUUGACUUGUUGCUACGACAGUACGUCUCUUACCUUGAAUUAAAGACGCGGCUCGUCUCUCGUGCGAGCAGCCGCGCCUUUUUUCAACGUGUGCACAACGUAUACACGACGAUUCACGCAUAUUGCACGCGGAAUACAACAAAAAAGGACAUUUGACGAACGAGAACACACGCGUGUGUAUAUGAGGGAACGAGUUUUCAAUCGCAGUAAUUCGUGUGGGCGGAACGUGAGGGACUCGCACGUUUGUAUGUUUGCCUCGGUUCCAGAAAUUCACGGCUGAUAUUCGUCCAGCCGGCAUUACUAGUCAUCGCGCCCGCGUUACUGUGCAGCGAAUAUAAUUUCGACCCCAUCAACAGGAAUUUUCCGUUCCAACGUUCUUUUUUCAACAAACCCGUGUUUUUAGCUCUCAAAAGUCUCACAAACGAUCCCAAUUUUUUAAUAGUAGAUAAAUAUCAAUAAUUUGCAUUGUUCAGAACUUUAUUGUUUUGUAUAAUUUUUAUUAUUGAAUUAUCAUCAUCACAUGCAAUGUAGUCACAUAUCACGUUCUUUGUUAUUAAAAACUGUGAGAAUAGAGUACAA